UUCGUUAUACUUCGUUUUUUUCUCAGCUAUUACUUCGAUUACUAAUUUGAUUUUUAGGUCUCUGUGUAUGUUUUCGUUCCGAAGGUACCACGGCGCUCCAGUGAUAAUUCUCAGAAUUCUUGACUGUGCUCGCUGAAUAAUGUCUAUGUUACUUCUGGAUGCGUUGCCCCACAGCUCGGAGCCAUAAGUCCAGAUAGGUUUUAAGACGGAGUUGUAUAGAAGAGCUUUGAACUCCAGACUAAGUGGAGAGCGAGCAUUUAUGAGCCAGUGGAGGUUCCUUGCUUUAAGUUUAAGAUGUGUCGAUUUGGCUUCUAUAUGUUUGCGCCAAGUGAGCCGCCUGUCCAGAUGAACACCCAGAUAUGUUACCUCGUCGGCUUGUGGAAUGCAUAUGUUAUUCAAGACCAGUGGUGGGCAUGUUUGUUUGUUUAAGGUAAAGGUAACCUGCUUGCAUUUUUGAACAUUUAUUGAAAUUCUCCAGUCGGCAAGCCAUCGUUCUACAGAUGUUAAGUGUCGGGAUAGGAGUGCCGUGGCUUUUAUUGGGCAUUUGGAGCGACUGAGUAUCGCGGUAUCAUCAGCGAACGUGGAGGUUGUUAGAUUGUAGUCUAUGGGGAAAUCCGCCGUAUACAGGGUGUAUAAGAUUGGACCCAGUACACUGCCUUGCGGCACUCCAGCUUCGAUUGCGCAAUCGCGUGAAGUGCUGUAUCGCAUCUUAUUGCAAACACUCUGUUAUAUAGGUAUGACUUCAGUAGCUUAUGUGUGUUUUGGGGCAACAGCUUGAUUAUUUUAAACAAAAGUCCAUCGAGCCACACUCUGUCAAAUGCCUGCGCGACGUCUAGAAAAAUGGCUGUGCAGUAUUCUCGAUGUUCAAAAGCAGUACGAAUUUCUGAUGUGAUUCGAUUGACCUGUUCGAUGGUUCCAUGUUUUUCUCUAAAGCCAAAUUGAUGUGUUGGAAGUGUGUUGUUUAUUCUAAGAUGAGGGCUAAUCCGAAGGAGUAGCAUUUUUUCAAACAGCUUUGA